rnacentral:misc_RNA from 1 species
AUAUAUAUAUAUAUAUAAGGAAAAAAUUAAGGGGGACAAAAACAGGACUAGAGGGCAGGUUUGACACAUAUGCCUCUAAAAUAAUCAAUGUUAGGACUUGAAAUUUUAAAUAGCGAAAUUCUUGAAUUAAAUUCAAGUAAAUAAGGGGCUAAAUCACCUAAAAGUCAUAAAAUUUAUACAAUUUUCUGUUAUGUUCAAAGCUAUAAAAUAGCUAAAUUUGGUUUGAUAUCUGAUUAUGAAUUGCAAUUGUGGCCGAAAGUGGCAAUCCUUGAAUAUCCCUUUGGUCACAACUACAAACUCUUAAUUAAAAUUAGGCUACAGUGGAAUUGGCUCUAUUUGUAAUCCAGGCCAUAAUUGCAAUUAGGCAUUAUUUUUGGUUAAUAACAAAGCCUAUGAAAUCAUCCUUGAUAUAACAUUAAUAAAUUUUGUACCAAAAAAAAAGGCAUUAAUAAAGCAUUAUUACCCAAUUAUGCCCAUUAUAUAUGGGUCUUAAAAAAAAUUUGUGGCGUUCAAUGUUCUCUUACAAGAAGUGGUUGCUCAGUGCUCAGAGACUUCAAAGCUACAACCCUUUUUUGCACGCCCAAAAUUCUUAUUUGCAUUUUGCACUUGCUCUAUGGCUGCAUCAAUUUAAUGCAUUUGCAUAGAAUAUCAGGCAUUGUUGAUUCUGUUAAGUUACAUUUCUUUACAUGUGGCACUAAUAUCGGAUGCUCACAAUUAGCUAAUAGCUUGUUGCUUUAGGUAUUUGAUCGGAGGACAAAGAG